rnacentral:rRNA from 1 species
CCCCUUCGGGGGACAAGUAGAGUGGCGCACGGGUGAGUAACACGUAGGUAAUCUACCUUCGGAUGGGGAAUAACAACCGGAAACGGUUGCUAAUACCGCAUAAUGCAGCGGCACCUAAUGGUGACAGUUGUUAAAGCGGGGGAUCGUAAGACCUCGCGUCUGAAGAGGAGCCUGCGGCAGAUUAGCUAGUUGGUAAGGUAAUGGCUUACCAAGGCGAUGAUCUGUAGCCGGCCUGAGAGGGCGGUCGGCCACACUGACACUGACAUACGGGUCAGACUCCUACGGGAGGCAGCAGUCGGGAAUUUUGGGCAAUGGGCGAAAGCCUGACCCAGCAACGCCGCGUGAAGGAUGAAAUCCUUCGGGAUGUAAACUUCGCAAGAACGGGAAGAAUAGUAAGAGCUAACAUCUCUUACGAUGACGGUACUGUUUGUAAGCUCCGGCUAACUCCGUGCCAGCAGCCGCGGUAAUACGGGGGGAGCAAGCGUUGUUCGGAUUUACUGGGCGUAAAGGGCGCGUAGGCGGCCACCGCAAGUCAGUUGUGAAAUCUCUGGGCUUAACCCAGAAAGGUCAACUGAUACUGCGGGGCUAGAGUGCAGAAGGGGCAACUGGAAUUCUCGGUGUAGCGGUGAAAUGCGUAGAUAUCGAGAGGAACACCUGCGGCGAAGGCGGGUUGCUGGGCUGACACUGACGCUGAGGCGCGAAAGCUAGGGGAGCGAACGGGAUUAGAUACCCCGGUAGUCCUAGCCUUAAACGAUGAAUGCUUGGUGUCUGGGGUUUUAUAGU